AUUCCCAGGAGUUUCCACUUGGUGACCAGCACUGAACACAGACCACCAGCAAUGGAGUUUGGGCUGAGCUGGGUUUUCCUUGUUGCUAUUUUGAAAGGUGUCCAGUGUGAGGUGCAGCUGGUGGAGUCUGGGGGAGGCUUGGUCCAGCCUGGCGGGUCCCUGAGACUCUCCUGUGCAGCCUCUGGAUUCACCUUCAGUGACUACUACAUGUACUGAGUCCGCCAGGCUCCAGGGAAGGGGCCGGAGUGGGUAGGUUUCAUUAGAAGCAAAGCUUACGGUGGGACAACAGAAUACGCCGCGUCUGUGAAAGGCAGAUUCACCAUCUCCAGAGAUGAUUCAAAGAACACGGCGUAUCUGCAAAUGAACAGCCUGAAAACCGAGGACACGGCCGUGUAUUACUGUACUAGGGACACAGUGAGGCGGGGUCAGUGUGAGCCCAGACACAAACCUCCCUGCAGGGGUCCCCGUGACCACCAGGGGGCGCCCGUCCUGAGACUUCCUGUGCAGCCUCUGGAUUCACCUUCAGUGACUACUUGCUACAUGGUACUGAGUCCGCCAGGCUCCAGGGAAGGGGCCGGAGUGGUGAGGUUUCUCAUUAGAAGCAAAGCUUACGUGACAACAGAAUACGCCAAGGCCUGUGGAAGGUGCAGAUUCACCAUCUCCAGAGAUGAUUCAAAGCAACACGGCGAUUCAUGCAAAUGA